UUUUUCAGAUUACCUGUCUCAUGAACUUCUGUCAGGAUAUAGUGACCAUUUUAUAAAAAUAACUUUUUUUAAUCAGAUUUGCUCCAAUUCUACCCACUGCUGCUUUAAAAUCUUACUGGUUACAAACUUAAAAAAAGCUCCUCCAGAGCUACAGAAUUAUAGACCUACUGUUUUCAUUGGCUGAAUGACUAAUACUAAUCAUGACUAAUAACCGACUUUCAUGUAUAACAUCAGUGGAGCUGUUUUGAUGCUGUUAAUGCUAUUGAUUCAAUAUGCACAGGAGAAAUGCUGUCAAGUGCAGUACAAUGUUAGUUAGUGGCAAGUGGCAACUCUAAUCAGCCGUCCAACUUAGUCAGUAACUGGCAUAUCAGAGCUGUUCAGGCAGCUUCCACGGCUCCACACACAAUCACUCCUCACCCCAUGCCUCCAGCUACUGGUGAAGCAUUCAAAUAACAACAAAAGGCUAGAGCUGAAAGGACGAUCGGGACAUUGGGGGUGCUCUACAACGAUCGCACAUUGGGCCUUUAGUAUAGAGAACAUUCAUCUGACUCCGUUCUUGUGAAACCUCCAUCCUCCAUCCACAGCCUCAGUCAGAAAGCCUCCAGGAAACAGAGACCAGCUGCCGGAAGAGCUGCUCGAAGGCAGACAAAAACACCUCCUAGUACGCCUUGCUGGCCCACAGUGACACCUCCCAGAAGUCUUCCUAUCGGCCACUCGAGAGCGUGACUGAGAGCUGUCCCCCAAGGCAACAGCCUGCGGUGCUGCACUGCAAUAUAUACCUGUCUUACCAAUGAAAUAAUUUUAAUAACGA